GGGUAACUCAGCCGCCAAAUGCGGGUAAGUACGGUGGGCGCAGGUUGUAAGCGGAGUUGCCGAGUGGUAAGGGCGGGGAGGCGGAUGGGGAAGGCGAUGUGGAAGUCGACGGGCUCAACGUUGGACUUGCAGUCGGGGCGGCUAUGCGAGACAGGAGGAGGGGGUGGUGGAAGUCCCGGUGUAGCGGUGGAAUGCGUAGAUGUCGGGAGGAACAUCAGUGGCGAAGGCGCCCGCCUGGCCUAACACUGGGGCUGUGGUGCGAAAGCGUGGGUAGCAAACAGGAUUAGAUACCGCGUAGUC
rnacentral:rRNA from 1 species